ensembl:lncRNA
GACCAAUCGCGUCGCAGAGCGGGAAAGGCGGCGCCCUAUGACUGCAGCAGGGAGAACCCGUGCCCGUCCGCUGCGGAGCUGCGUGUCGUGGGCGUGGAGAGCGAGAGGGGUGUUGCGUCUGAGAGAAGUUCUGCUCAGAAAGAAAAGGAAUUCGGUGGGCCAGAUUCCCUCUGUGGCCAGAUCCAUUCACUACAGCUGCCUGGGGAGGCAUCUAGGUGAAGGGCUAUCGUCAAGAGGAAAAUCGAACUUAGAAGGGAGGAGGUCACCAUUUUUGCAGGUACCAAUCCAAAUUUUGCUCAGAUUUCACCUAGAGAUUUUACUUAAAUAUUUCUGGAAAAGCACUUGUUUUAACAAAUACUGAUUGCUACUCAGGCAUUUAAUGCAAGUGGCGUAAGUUUUAGCACCGAUGUAGAGCCAUUUCUGUUUUAUGGGUCUUCACAAAUUAAACUUGAUGACAAUCUAAUUCAUAUUACACCAAUUUCAGAGGUGCAGAAGGGAACAGAAGCUAUAUCCUGCCCCAUGCUACAACGUUCGGGUAUUCUAAUCGAGCAUCUGUGGCUGUCUCCCACACUAUCAAGCUCCUUAGAUACUGGACAUAUUUCCAUCAACCAAGAGACUGAGCAUAUCGUGCUCAAAAAGAGUACUCAACGGCAUGAAAAAGGGGAUUAAAAAGCAAAGAACCAAAACCAGCAUCUCUUUUCCAGAAGGGUGAAAAUAUGCCAAGCCCAGUUCUAACUACAGAAAUACUUUCCAGUAUUUUCUUUCUUUCCAGUUACUGCAGUUCUACAAAGAUGUUAUUUGGUGACAGAUGAAAAGGAAGGCAAUUUGGUGAACAAGAUACCUAUUCCAAAGAUCUCCUGAUUAAAAGAAAGGCUAAUAUCUUACUCCUCACACUCCUGACAUGACCGUAGGCUUGAAGAGUCUUGCAAUCUGUAUAUAAUUUGAAUGAAGGAAGUCCAGUUGAAAGACUACAUCUCUAAUUGUUAAUGAACGUUUCCAGCAACAGUUUCACAGCAACAAUAACAAAAAAAAAUUCUCUGCUUGGAAGAG